rnacentral:tRNA from 1 species
GGGUGGUUAGCUCAGUUGGUUAGAGCAUUCGCUUUACAAGCGAGGGGUCACAGGUUCGAGUCCUGUACUACCCA